rnacentral:rRNA from 1 species
GACGAACGCUGGCGGCGUGCCUAAUACAUGCAAGUCGAACGCUGGAACUCUAGCUUGCUAGAUUGCAGGAGUGGCGAACGGGUGAGUAACACAUAAGCAACCUACCCACGAAGACUGGGAUAAUCUCUGGAAACGGGGACUAAUACCGGAUAGGUAAUCGGAAGGCAUCUUUUGAUUAUUAAAGGUGAUAAACACUGGUGGAUGGGCCUAUGGCGCAGUGGUUAGUUGGUGAGGUAACGGCCCACCAAGACGAUGAUGCGAAGCCGGCCUGAGAGGGUGAACGUGCGAAGGUGGACGGGGACACUGGGCAUGCGCCAACGGGCGGCAGCCGUAGGGAGGUAUCGGCGGGGGAUAAUGCCCUGACGGAGCAAGGCCGCGUGAGUGAUGACGGCUGGCGGGUUGUAGAGCUCUGGUGGUAGAGAAGAACGGUAGGUGGAGAAUCUCUUUGUGACGGUACCUAACCAGGAAGCCACGGCUAACUACGUG